GCUCUUGUAGCUCAGUGGUAGAGCGUUGCACUUGUAAUGCAAAGGUCCGUCGUUCGAUCCGGCGUAGGAGCU